ACAGAGUGAAGCUGAAAGGUCAGACAGGAGAUCUCAUCAUCACACACAUCACAUCUCAACACUCUGGACUUUAUACACUGAAGAUCAGCAGAGACAUGAAAGUCUCAUACAAGAACUUCAAUCUCACUGUCUACAAAAAUGACGUCAACAAUUCAUUCAGCAAACAGACUGAACAUCUAACCACUGAUGCCUCUCCAAAGUCUUCAGAUUCUCAUCGCAUGCGGGUCAUUAUAAUUUCAGUUGUCGUUCCUCUUGUGAUCGGUGUGAUCUUCAUCUUCAUCAUCACUGUCUACAAACACAGAAGAAUGUCUCAUAAAG